rnacentral:rRNA from 1 species
UACGAAGGACCCGAGCGUUAUCCGGAUUUAUUGGGUUUAAAGGGUGCGUAGGCGGAUUAUUAAGUCAGUGGUGAAAGCCUACAGCUUAACUGAAGAAUUGCCAUUGAUACUGAUGAUCUUGAGUAUGAUUGAGGUGGGCGGAAUGUGUCAUGUAGCGGUGAAAUGCUUAGAUAUGACACAGAACACCGAUUGCGAAGGCAGCUCACUAAGUCAUAACUGACGCUGAUGCACGAAAGCGUGGGGAGCAAACAGGAUUAGAAACCCCAGUAGUCC